AUACCUGCCCCCUGAGUGGUAGGGACAAUUAUUUGGCCUAAAGCGUUCGUAGCCGGCUCAGCAAGUCUUUCGUUAAAUCCGGCGACUUAAUCGUCGGCCUGCGAGAGAUACUACUAGGCUAGAGGUCGGGAGAGGUCGACGGUAUUCCGGGGGAAGGGGUAAAAUCCUAUAAUCCUCGGAGGACCACCAGUGGCGAAGGCGGUCGACUAGAACGUGCCUGACGGUGAUGGACGAAAGCUGGGGGAGCAAACCGGAUUAGAUACCCGUGUAGUCC
rnacentral:rRNA from 1 species